rnacentral:rRNA from 1 species
GACAGAGGGUGCAAACGUUGUUCGGAAUUACUGGGCGUAAAGCGCACGUAGGCGGCUUUGUAAGUUAGAGGUGAAAGCCCGGGGCUCAACUCCGGAAUUGCCUUUAAGACUGCAUCGCUAGAAUUGUGGAGAGGUAAGUGGAAUUCCGAGUGUAGAGGUGAAAUUCGUAGAUAUUCGGAAGAACACCAGUGGCGAAGGCGGCGACCUGGUCCGAUACUGACGCUGAGGCGCGAAAGCGUGGGGAGCAAACAGG